AUUGAACGCUGGCGGCAGGCCUAACACAUGCAUGUCGAGCGAGCGGAGGACGGGUGAGUAAUGUCUGGGAAACUGCCUGAUGGAGGGGGAUAACUACUGGAAACGGUAGCUAAUACCGCAUACCAUCAGAUGUGCCCAUAUGGGAUUAGCUAGUAGGUGGGGUAACGGCUCACUUAGGCGACGAUCCCUAGCUGGUCUGAGAGGAUGACCAGCCACACAGGAACUUGGACACGGUCCAGACUCCUACGUGAGGCAGCAGUGGGGAAUAUUGCACAAUGGGCGCAAGCCUGAUGCAGCCAUGCCGCGUGUAGGAAGAAGGCCUUCGGGUUGUAAAGUACUUGCAGCGGGGAGGCGUUACCCGCAGAAGAAGCACCGGAUAACUCCGUGCCAGCAGCCGCGGUAAUUC
rnacentral:rRNA from 1 species